GAUGAACGCUGGCGGCGUGCCUAAUACAUGCAAGCCGAGCGAAUGGAUUAAGAGCUUGCUCUUAUGACGUUAGCGGCGGACGGGUGAGUAACACGUGGGUAACCUGCCCAUAAGACUGGGAUAACUCCGGGAAACCGGGGCUAAUACCGGAUAACAUUUUGAACCGCAUGGUUCGAAAUUGAAAGGCGGCUUCGGCUGUCACUUAUGGAUGGACCCGCGUCGCAUUAGCUAGUUAGUGAGGUAACGGCUCACCAAGGCAACGAUGCGUAGCCGACCUGAGAGGGUGAUCGGCCAGACUGGGACUGAGACACGGCCCAGACUCCUACGGGAGGCAGCAGUAGGGAAUCUUCCGCAAUGGACGAAAGUCUGACGGAGCAACGCCGCGUGAGUGAUGAAGGCUUUCGGGUCGUAAAACUCUGUUGUUAGGGAAGAACAAGUGCUAGUUGAAUAAGCUGGCACCUUGACGGUACCUAACCAGAAAGCCACGGCUAACUACGUGCCAGCCGCCGCAGUAA
rnacentral:rRNA from 1 species